CCUGGUAGUCUACGCUGUAAACGAUGUCGACUUGGAGGUUGUUCCCUUGAGGAGUGGCUUCCGGAGCUAACGCGUUAAGUCGACCGCCUGGGGAGUACGGCCGCAAGGUUAAAACUCAAAUGAAUUGACGGGGGCCCGCACAAGCGGUGGAGCAUGUGGUUUAAUUCGAUGCAACGCGAAGAACCUUACCUACUCUUGACAUCCAGAGAACUUAGCAGAGAUGCUUUGGUGCCUUCGGGAACUCUGAGACAGGUGCUGCAUGGCUGUCGUCAGCUCGUGUUGUGAAAUGUUGGGUUAAGUCCCGCAACGAGCGCAACCCUUAUCCUUUGUUGCCAGCGGUUCGGCCGGGAACUCAAAGGAGACUGCCAGUGAUAAACUGGAGGAAGGUGGGGAUGACGUCAAGUCAUCAUGGCCCUUACGAGUAGGGCUACACACGUGCUACAAUGGCAUAUACAAAGAGAAGCGACCUCGCGAGAGCAAGCGGACCUCAUAAAGUAUGUCGUAGUCCGGAUCGGAGUCUGCAACUCGACUCCGUGAAGUCGGAAUCGCUAGUAAUCGUGGAUCAGAAUGCCACGGUGAAUACGUUCCCGGGCCUUGUACACACCGCCCGUCACACCAUGGGAGUGGGUUGCAAAAGAAGUAGGUAGCUUAAC
rnacentral:rRNA from 1 species